rnacentral:rRNA from 1 species
GAUGAACGCUGGCGGCGUGCCUAAUACAUGCAAGUCGAGCGAACAGACGAGGAGCUUGCUCCUCUGACGUUAGCGGCGGACGGGUGAGUAACACGUGGAUAACCUACCUAUAAGACUGGGAUAACUUCGGGAAACCGGAGCUAAUACCGGAUAAUAUAUUGAACCGCAUGGUUCAAUAGUUAAAGACGGUUUUGCUGUCACUUAUAGAUGGAUCCGCGCCGCAUUAGCUAGUUGGUAAGGUAACGGCUUACCAAGGCAACGAUGCGUAGCCGACCUGAGAGGGUGAUCGGCCACACUGGAACUGAGACACGGUCCAGACUCCUACGGGAGGCAGCAGUAGGGAAUCUUCCGCAAUGGGCGAAAGCCUGACGGAGCAAAGCCGCGUGAGUGAUGAAGGUCUUCGGAUCGUAAAACUCUGUUAUUAGGGAAGAACAAAUGUGUAAGUAACUAUGCACGUCUUGACGGUACCUAAUCAGAAAGCCACGGCUAACUACGUG